GGGCGGUUGGUGUAGUGGUUAACAUUUCUGCCUUCCAAGCAGGAGACAUGGGUUCGAUUCCCGUACCGCUCA
rfam:Candida tenuis ATCC 10573 unplaced genomic scaffold CANTEscaffold_00004, whole genome shotgun sequence.